UGAGGAAUCUUGCGCAAUGGGGGAAACCCUGACGCAGCAACGCCGCGUGAGUGAGGAAGGUCUUCGGAUCGUAAAGCUCUGUCAGAUGGAAAGAACCGCAUGGGGGCCAAUACCCCUCAUGCCUGACGGUACCCUCAGAGGAAGCACCGGCUAACUCCGUGCCAGCAGCCGCGGUAAUCCGGGGGGUGCAAGCGUUGUUCGGACUUAUUGGGCGUAAAGAGCGUGUAGGCGGACGGAUGUGUCAGAGGUGAAAGCCCUGAGCUCAACUCAGGAAGGGCAUUUGAAACUGUCCAGCUUGAGUAGGGGAGAGGGAAGUGGAAUUCCUGGUGUAGAGGUGAAAUUCGUAGAUAGCAGGAGGAAGACCGGUGGCGAAGGCGACUUCCUGGCCCUAUACUGACGCUGAGACGCGAGAGCGUGGGUAGCAAACA
rnacentral:rRNA from 1 species